rnacentral:tRNA from 1 species
GGGCGAUUAGCUCAGUUGGUUAGAGCACUACCUUCACACGGUAGGGGUCGAGAGUUCGAAUCUCCCAUCGCCCACCA